rnacentral:lncRNA from 1 species
UUCAUCGUUAUAACUGAUAAUGCAGCAUCAGGGCGUUGUAGUAAGUGGGUUAUUUCACUGUAGAAAACAUACAAAAGUUGACGGUGCAACAGCUUCUCAUUGUUAUAAUGAAUAUAUUGUCAAAACCAGUAUCAUUAUACUAGUGGGUUCGC